GCAGCCGCGGUAAUUCCAGCUCCAAUAGCGUAUAUUUAAGUUGUUGCAGUUAAAAAGCUCGUAGUUGGAUUUGUGGUUGGAGAGGUCCGCCGUUGCUAUGCUUCGUGUUGGAUCUUUCCGUCCAUCCUUGGGUGGAUCCUGUGUGGCAUUCAGUUGUCGUGCAGGGGAUGCCCAUCGUUUACUGUGAAAAAAUUAGAGUGUUCAAAGCAGGCUUAGGCUGUUGAAUACAUUAGCAUGGAAUAAUGAGAUAGGGCCUUGGUGGUUUUCUAUUUUGUUGGUUUGCACGCCAAGGUAAUGAUUAAUAGGGAUAGUUGGGGGUAUUCGUAUUCAAUUGUCAGAGGUGAAAUUCUUGGAUUUCCGAAAGACGAACUACUGCGAAAGCAUUUACCAAGGAUGUUUUCAUUAAUCAAGAACGAAAGUUAGGGUAUCGAAAACGAUUAGAUACCGUUGUAGUCUCUUCUGUAAACUAUGCCAAUUGGGGAUCGGUACAGGAUUUUUAAUGACUGUAUCGG
rnacentral:rRNA from 13 species